UCUCCUGAUUUGAUUUUAUUUCCACAUUAUUUUCUAUUAUUUUAUUUAUUUAUUUAUUUAUUUUAGUUUCCGUUGAUGCCCUUUGUGUGUGUGUGUGUGUGUGUGUGUGUGUGUGUGUGUGUGUGUUGCUUGUUUACGCUUUCUGCUUGCGUUUGUUUGUUUGUUUGUUUGUGUCCUCAUUACAUACAAAGAACGUACACUUAUAUACAUCAACUCAUUAUUAUUAUUAUUAUUAUUAUUACUAUUAUUAUUGCUAUUCUGUUACUAUUGUUAUUACUAGCAUUAUUUUUAUUAGUACUAUUACACCUCAGCUUGUAUUAGUGCUAGUUAUCAUUAUUAUUAUUAUUAUUAUUAUUAUUAUUAUUAUUAUUAUUAUUAUUAUUAUUGGGUGAAGAAGGAGAAUGAAGGAGACUUGGGUGCUGGGCUUUAUCAGUGGACCAGGAUACGCUAAAAUGCUUCAUCUACUCAGCUGUCGAUGGGCUUGGUGUCAUUUUCUAUCACUGCAUCGAGAGAAUAUACUUUAGUUUGCCUUUGAAAACACACAAUUUGGUCUCAUUUUCUAUCACUGCAUCGAGAGAAUAUACUUUAGUUUGCCUUUAAAAACACACAAUUUGGUCCCAUUUUCUAUCACUGCAAGAGAAUAUACUUUAGUUUGCCUUUAAAAACACACAAUUUGGUCUCAUUUUCUAUCACUGCAUCAAGAGAAUAUACUUUAGUUUGCCUUUAAAAACACACAAUUUGGUCCCAUUUUCUGUCACUGCAUCAAGAGAAUACACACACACACACACACACACACACACAGACACUCACACACACAAAGAAAUAAAUCCCUUGAAACAAAUACCUCCCUCUCUCCCUCCCGCCCCUCCUCUGUCACUAGGCAUGGUCAGCACUCAGCACCUUUGUUAGCGCAUGGAACCAGCACCGAGCACUCACCACGACCCUUGUUAGCUAUACUCUUAAGGGGCUGUUACACUGGGCAAAUUUUCCGUGGAUCUUCAGUCAAACCACGAUUUCCGCUAGUGUGAUUCUCAUAUGUUUCUUGUUAUUGCUGAUGAUGAUGAUGGUGAGCAAUUCCGUCGACCUUCAGUGAAAUCUACCGUAGCCUUGGAAGAUCGUGGACAUGUCAGAAAACCACGGAAAUAUGAAAACAAGCGGAAAUUGUGGUUUGACGGAAGAUCCACGGAAAAUUUGCCCAGUGUAGCCCCUUUAAGUGAAGUUAGUUUGCUGGGUAGGGGUGAGGAGAGGAAGGGAACGGCAGGAAAGAUAGAGCGAGAGAGGGAAAGAUAAAGAUCGACUCACUACAUAAAUAUCUUAGGUGGAGUUACUUUAUUUCAUGGUGUUAAGAAGAAAAGGAAAGGAAGGGAAAGGCAGGCAGAUACUUCAGGAUGAAAUAUAAGGGAAAACAGAGGGAUGUUAGGUAUAGAUUAUGCAUUUCUUUAUUUAUUUAAGUUGAAUUUGUUUAUUAUUUUAAGUAUUUCUAGUAUAGGGGAUAGUGGGAAAGAAGGAGAAAGCGAAUAGGUUCAUAGAGCUUGCAUUUCACUGUAGAUUAUGCGACAAUAGUUUAGUUUGCCUUUAGAAACAUAGAAUUCAGCCCCAUUUUCUAUCACUGCAUUGUAUGAGUUCCCUUCCGCUGGUUACUUGGUUCUUUGAGUUGGGUUUGAGUUGGGAUGAUCUGAGAAAAUAUGUUAGUUUGCCUCUCAAUCUCAUUUUCUGUCAUUACACUGAGAGAAUAUACUUAAGUUUGCCUUUAGAAACAGAAUUCAACCCCAUUUUCUGUCACUGCAUCUGAUGAGUUCCCUUCUGCUGGUUACUUGGUUCUUUGAGUUGGGUUUGAGUUGGGUGAUCUGAGAAAAUAAGUUAGUUUGACUUUUGAUCUCAUUUUCUGUCAUUGCACCAAGAGAAUAUACUUAAGUUUGCCUUUAGAAACAUAGAAUUCAGCCCCAUUUUCUGUCACUGCAUUGUAUGAGUUCCCUUCCGCUGGUUACUUGGUUCUUUGAGUUGGGUUUGAGUUGGGAUGAUCUGAGAAAAUAAGUUAGUUUGCCUCUCAAUCUCAUUUUCUGUCAUUGCUCUGAGAGAAUAUACUUAAGUUUGCCUUUAGAAACAGAAUUCAGCCCCAUUUUCUGUCACUGCAUUGUAUGAGUUCCCUUCUGCUGGUUACUUGGUUCUUUGAGUUGGGUUUGAGUUUGGAUGAUCUGAGAAAAUAUGUUAGUUUGCCUCUCAAUCUCAUUUUCUGUCAUUGCACUGAGAGAAUAUACUUUAGUUUGCCUUUAGAAGCAUACAAUUUGGUCCCAUUUUCUAUCACUGCAUCUUACGAGUUCCCUUCCUCUGGUUAUUUGGUUCUUUGAGUUUGGGUGAUCUGAGAAAAUAAGUUAGUUUGCCUCUCAAUCUCAUUUUCUGUCAUUGCAGCGAGAGAAUAUACUUAAGUUUGCCUUUAGAAACAGAAUUCAGCCCCAUUUUCUGUCACUGCAUCUGAUGAGUUCCCUUCCGCUGGUUACUUGGUUCUUUGAGUUGGGUUUGAGUUUGGGUGAUCUGAGAAAAUAUGUUAGUUUGCCUCUCAAUCUCAUUUUCUGUCAUUGCAUCAAGUGAAUAUACUAUAGUUUACCCUUAGAAGCAUACAAUUUGGUCCCAUUUUCUGUCACUGCAUCUUAUGAGUUCUCUUCCUCUGGUUAUUUGGUUCUUUGAGUUGGGUUUGAGUUUGGGUGAUCUGAGAAAAUAAGUUAGUUUGCCUUUCAAUCUCAUUUUCUGUCAUUGCACUGAGAGAAUAUACUUUAGUUUGCCUUUAGAAGCAUACAAUUUGGUCCCGUUUUCUAUCACUGCACCGAGAGAAUAUAGUUUAGUUGGCCUUUAGAAGCAUAGAAUUCAAUCCCAUUUUCUAUUAUGGCAUCGUAUGAGCUUCCUUUCUUUGGCUAUUCGUUCCUUUGAGUUAGGAUAAUUUUGGAAUAUACUUUAGUUUACCUCUAGAAGCAUACAAUUUGGUUCCAUUUUCUAUCACUGCACCGAGAGAAUAUACUUUAGUUGGCCUUUAGAAGCAUAGAAUUUGGCUCCAUUUUCUAGUAUGGCAUCGUAUGAGCUUCCUUUCCCUGGCAGUUUGGUCCUUGAAGUUAGGAUAAUUUGGAAAUAUAUUUAAGUUUGCCUUUUAAAGCCCAUAGUUUGGCUCCAUUUUCUAUCACUGCACCGAGAGAAUAUACUUUAGUUGGCCUUUAGAAGCAUACAAUUCAGUUCCAUUUUCUAUCACUGCACCGAGAGAAUAUACUUAAGUUUACCUUUAGAAGCAUACAAUUUAGUUCCAUUUUCUAUCACUGCACCGAGAGAAUAUACUUUAGUUGGCCUUUAGAAGCAUACAAUUCGAUCCCAUUUUCUGUCACUGCAUCGUAUCAAAUCCCUUCUUUAUUUCAUCCUGUGAGCUGCAUAUUGGAGUGAAUGAUGUGACCCUCUUUUAUGAUGUCUGCUAUGUUACCUUAAGGAGUAAAAGCCAAUUGUUCCAGUAAUAUCGUGUAACUUGACAGUGUGUUUAUAUAAGUCGGCCUCUCGGUCAGUCAGUCAGUCAGCUGCUAUUUAUACUCACUGCAGGAAGCAACCGAUUGACGCAUUUUGUGGCCCAUAAGAUUGAACAGUUUUCCUCAGUUUCCCUUAAAAAGACAUCCAUGCUUCUAGUUGAGUUGAGGCUAAGGUUGCUGCCUCUCGUCAACUAUGUAUUUCCGAAUGCCAGAAAGGAGACCAGUCGGGUUCUGAUGGGUGAUAUUUUAGGUUCAUGGUUCAGAGGAAGGGUCAAACUACCACCAGGGUCAUAAAACCACCCAUGAAAUGACCCACAAAACUCCUAUGAAAGCCUUGUCAAAUAUGUGUUUCUUAGGUUCAUGGUAAAGAGGAUGGGUCAUAAAACCACCCCUGAAAUGACCCACAAAACUCCUAUGAAAGCCUUGUCAAAUAUGUGUUUCUUAGGUUCAUGGUACAGAGGAAGGGUCAAACUACCCACCAGGGUCAUAAAACCACCCCUGAAAAUGGCCAAAACUCCUAUGAAAGCCUUGUCAAAUAUGUAUUUCUUAGGUUCAUGGUACAGAGGAAGGGUCAAACUACCACCAGGGUCAUAAAACUACCCCUGAAAAUGGCCAAAACUCCUAUGAAAGCCUUGUCAAAUAUGUGUUUCUUUGAUUCAUGGUACAGAGGAAGGGUCAAACUACCACCGGGGUCAUAAAACCACCCCUGAAAUGACCCACAAAACUCCUAUGAAAGCCUUGUCAAAUAUGUGUUUCUUUGAUUCAUGGUACAGAGGAAGGGUCAAACUACCACCCCUGAAAACGACCACAACUCCUAUGAAAGCCUUGUCAAAUACCUAAGCUUGGAUGCUGAUAUGUUUAAGUAUACCCUAUUAUUUCCCUCAUUCAUAGAUACAUUUUCACAGUCGAUCUUACGGGCCACAAAAGGAAGCAUUGAUAUAUAUUUUAACAUGUCGGGAGGGGAGACUGCACAAAGGUUGACUGAGGCAUUCACCGAGGACCAUAUGAGUGCUUUGCUGUAAUGCUUUGUCUGAGUGAAUUCUUGGUCAUGGAAACUCAUAUACAAGUUCUAUUAGCAUUGAUGAUAUAGAAACACACACACACACACACACACACACACACACACACACACACACAAACACACACACACACACACCACUCUGUCAGCAAGCAGUGUAGAAAAAUGAAGUUGAUUAGUGAAGUUAAGCUUAGGUGGUGUAUUAAGCUGAUUCUGGUGAAGCUUAUUUGAAAAUGUGAAGCUUAUUUAGUGACAUUUAAAAGCUUACAUGACUCAUUAAGCUGAUGAAGUUGAUUAGUGAAGUUAAGCUUAGGUGGUGUAUUAAGCUAAUUCUGGUGAAGCUUAUUUGAAAAUGUGAAGCUUAUUUAGUGAUGUUUUAAAAGCUUAUAUGACUCAUUAAGCUGAUGAGGUUAAUUAGUGAAGUAAAGCUUAUUAGGUGCUGCAUCAAGCUGAUUUUAGUGAAGCUUAUGUGAAAAUGUGAAGCUGAUUUAGUGAUGUUUUUAAAGCUUAUAUUUGGCUCAUUAAGCUGAAGUUGAUCUAGUGAAGUUCAGCUUUUGUCACGCCUGAAGCUGAUUUAGUUGUCAAAUUGGUGAGCAGAAGUUAAGCUGAAUUGAUGAAGUUAAGCUGAAUUGAUGAAGUUAAGCUGAAUUGAUGAAGUUAAGCUGGAUUGAUGAAGUUAAGCUGAUUUUGUUAAGUUAAGCUGAUUCUGUUAACCCAAUGUGGUAUGAUAAAGCUUGUUAGGUGAGGUUAAGCUGACAUGAUAGAGCUUAUAAUUUGACAAGUUAAUGGUAAGCUGAUUUGAUUAAGUUUAGGUGAUGUGGUCAAGCUUAUCUAGUGUGACAAAAGUUCAGCUAGUGUGAUUAAGUCUAUUUCAAUGUGACACAAGUUCGAGUAUGAGAAAGUGCAGUUGGUGUGGUCAAGCUCAGUUCUAGUGUGACAAGGUUUAGUUAGUGUGGUCGAAUCUAAUCCAGUGUGGUCAAAUUCUAGUAUGGGAAAGGUUAUCUAGUGUGGUCAAAUUCUAGUAUGGGAAAGGUUAUCUAGUGUGGUCAAAUUCUAGUAUGGGAAAGGUUAUCUAGUGUGGUCAAAUUCUAGUAUGGGAAAGGUUAUCUAGUGUGGUCAAAUUCUAGUAUGGGAAAGGUUAUCUAGUGUGGUCAAAUUCUAGUAUGGGAAAGGUUAUCCAGUGUGGUCAAAUUCUAGUAUGGGAAAGGUUAUCCAGUGUGGU